rnacentral:piRNA from 1 species
GAUAAUGUUUGGGUGAUCUA